rnacentral:ncRNA from 1 species
GGGUCAGUCGACCCUAAGGGAUAGUCCAAGGCCGUUCUGAAGCGGGGUGAUGUUCGCGUCGCCCCGGCGGACCGAAAGGGAAUCGGGUUAAUAUUCCCGAACCUCGACGCGGAGAUUGGCGCUCCGGCGCCUAGUGCGGCAACGCAAACGAACUCGGAAACGCCGACGUGGGUCCCGGGAAGAGUUCUCUUUUCUUGGUAAGGGGCGGCGACCCUGGAAUCGGUUCGCCCGGAGAUAGGGACAUGGGCCCCGUAAAGCAGCACGUCUCUUGUGCUGUCCGGUGAGCUCGCGUCGGCCCUUGAAAAUCCGAGGGAGACGGUGUAAUUUUCGUGCGAGGUCGUACCCAUAUCCGCAGCAGGUCUCCAAGGUGAACAGCCUCUGGCCGAUAGAACAAUGUAGGUAAGGGAAGUCGGCAAACUAGAUCCGUAACUUCGGGAAAAGGAUUGGCUCUAGGGGCUGGGUCGGUCGGGCUGAGGUACGAAGCGGGGCGCGGCGCUGCACCGGACUGGGCGAACGACGGCCUCCCUCGCGGGGGGCUGGCGUGAGCCUGGACCUGUGUCGGCGUCUUCCCGUGGAAUGCCGCAGCUAACGCGGGCCUCGCGGCCCGCUUCGGCCGGCGUCGAACAGCCGACUUAGAACUGGUACGGACCGGGGGAAUCCGACUGUUUAAUUAAAACAAAGCUUUGCGAUGGCCGUCAGCCGGUG